rnacentral:miRNA from 1 species
CUCUGAGGGGGAAUGGAGACUUCAGCUGACCUCUGAUUGAUUCUCUUCUUUCCUCAG